rnacentral:tRNA from 1 species
GGUGAUGUGGCUUAGUGGUAGAGUAUUCGCUUUGUAUGCGUGGGGUCCUGGGCUCGAUUCCCGGUAUCUCCA